UACGUAGGCGGGAAAUUAAGUCAGUAGUGAAAUCCCACAGCUUAACUGUGGAACUGUUAUUGAUACUGGUUUUCUUGAAUAUAGUUGAGGUAGGCGGAAUGUGUAAUGUAGCGGUGAAAUGCUUAGAUAUUACACAGAACACCGAUUGCGAAGGCAGUUUACUAAGCUAUGAUUGACGCUGAGGUACGAAAGCGUGGGGAGCGAACAGGAUUAGAUACCCUGGUAGUCC
rnacentral:rRNA from 1 species